rnacentral:rRNA from 1 species
GACGAACGCUGGCGGCGUGCCUAAUACAUGCAAGUCGAACGCAUUUUCUUUCACCGUAGCUUGCUACACCGAAAGAAAAUGAGUGGCGAACGGGUGAGUAACACGUGGGUAACCUGCCCAUCAGCGGGGGAUAACACUUGGAAACAGGUGCUAAUACCGCAUAAUUCCAUUUACCGCAUGGUAGAUGGAUGAAAGGCGCUUUUGCGUCACUGAUGGAUGGACCCGCGGUGCAUUAGCUAGUUGGUGGGGUAACGGCCUACCAAGGCUGCGAUGCAUAGCCGACCUGAGAGGGUGAUCGGCCACACUGGGACUGAGACACGGCCCAGACUCCUACGGGAGGCAGCAGUAGGGAAUCUUCGGCAAUGGACACAAGUCUGACCGAGCAACGCCGCGUGAGUGAAGAAGGUUUUCGGAUCGUAAAACUCUGUUGUUAGAGAAGAACAAGGAUGAGAGUGGAAAGUUCAUCCCUUGACGGUAUCUAACCAGAAAGCCACGGCUAACUACGCG